CCUACGGGAGGCAGCAGUAGGGAAUCUUCCGCAAUGGACGAAAGUCUGACGGAGCAACGCCGCGUGAGCGAUGAAGGCCUUCGGGUCGUAAAGCUCUGUUGUCAGGGAAGAACAAGUAUCGGAGUAACUGCCGGUACCUUGACGGUACCUGACCAGAAAGCCACGGCUAACUACGUGCCAGCAGCCGCGGUAAUACGUAGGUGGCAAGCGUUGUCCGGAAUUAUUGGGCGUAAAGCGCGCGCAGGCGGCCCUUUAAGUCUGAUGUGAAAGCCCACGGCUCAACCGUGGAGGGUCAUUGGAAACUGGGGGACUUGAGUGCAGAAGAGGAAAGCGGAAUUCCACGUGUAGCGGUGAAAUGCGUAGAGAUGUGGAGGAACACCAGUGGCGAAGGCGGCUCUCUGGUCUGUAACUGACGCUGAGGCGCGAAAGCGUGGGGAGCGAACAGGAUUAGAUACCCUGGUAGUCCACGCCGUAAACGAUGAGUGCUAAGUGUUAGAGGGUUUCCGCCCUUUAGUGCUGCAGCUAACGCAUUAAGCACUCCGCCUGGGGAGUACGGCCGCAAGGCUGAAACUCAAAGGAAUUGACGG
rnacentral:rRNA from 1 species